rnacentral:tRNA from 1 species
CGGACCCGGCGGGCCGCCGGGCGCCUGUGCCCCGUUCCAGACGGGCUCCAGGGCACGCCUGACGGCGGCGUUCAGCUCGUCGGGGUCCAG